GACGAACGCUGGCGGCGUGCCUAAUACAUGCAAGUCGAACGCACAGUUUAUACCGUAGCUUGCUACACCAUAGACUGUGAGUUGCGAACGGGUGAGUAACGCGUAGGUAACCUGCCUGGUAGCGGGGGAUAACUAUUGGAAACGAUAGCUAAUACCGCAUAAUAUUGAUUAUUGCAUGAUAAUUAAUUGAAAGGUGCAAUUGCACCACUACCAGAUGGACCUGCGUUGUAUUAGCUAGUAGGUGAGGUAACGGCUCACCUAGGCGACGAUACAUAGCCGACCUGAGAGGGUGAUCGGCCACACUGGGACUGAGGCACGGCCCAGACUCCUACGGGAGGCAGCAGUAGGGAAUCUUCGGCAAUGGACGAAAGUCUGACCGAGCAACGCCGCGUGAGUGAAGAAGGUUUUCGGAUCGUAAAGCUCUGUUGUAAGAGAAGAACGGGUGUGAGAGUGGAAAGUUCACACUGUGACGGUAUCUUACCAGAAAGGGACGGCUAACUACGUG
rnacentral:rRNA from 1 species